UGGGGAAUAUUGCACAAUGGAGGGAACUCUGAUGCAGCGACGCCGCGUGAACGAAGAAGGCUUUCGGGUCGUAAAGUUCUUUUAUAUGGGAAGAUAAUGACGGUACCAUAAGAAGAAGCCCCGGCUAACUACGUGCCAGCAGCCGCGGUAAUACGUAGGGGGCUAGCGUUGUCCGGAAUCACUGGGCGUAAAGGGUUCGCAGGCGGAAAUGCAAGUCAGGUGUAAAAGGCAGUAGCUUAACUACUGUAAGCAUUUGAAACUGCAUAUCUUGAGAAGAGUAGAGGUAGGUGGAAUUUUUAGUGUAGCGGUGAAAUGCGUAGAUAUUAAAAAGAAUACCGGUGGCGAAGGCGACUUACUGGGCUCAUUCUGACGCUGAGGAACGAAAGCGUGGGUAGCAAACAGG
rnacentral:rRNA from 1 species